CUAACAGGACUCUUAUUGGGGAUAAUAAAAGAAAAAGAAGGCGUGAGCAAGACACGACUUCGAGUUGGGGAAAACAAAACUGACAUAACAUGUGCAAGACACGACUCUGAUUAGCGGAUAACAGAAAUCUGAUCGGAGACCUCACUGGGUAAGUGAAAGGACUCACACUGGGGAGAGAAAGAAAUUCCAAAGGAAAACACUUCCAUUGGAAAGACUCAAGCUGACCCACAAAAUGCACGUACUGGGGAUAACAC
rnacentral:lncRNA from 1 species